CCCAUUGACCUCUAUUGAGAAGAAAAACUAAAAAUUAAAUCUGCUUACUCAUUCCAAACGUUUGAUUGACAGACUCCCAGAGCCCACUUUCAAAUGGUAGAGAUGUGGACUUCCAACAAGCUCCCUCCUGAUUGGUAAGAAUGGUUGCCAUAAUAAAGACUGACUCUGACCAAUCACUGCUUCCUGAAGUUGUCUGGCUGUCAUGAAUCGGUCCCCUGUCUCCCCCUCUGGCUAUCAGCAAGAACUAUCUCCAGAGUACUAACACUUCCUGUUUCUCCACACUCCACUUCCCAUCAGCCCCUGCUGUCAUUCUCCCAGGAGCCCCACAGCUGUUUCCCAUCAGUAACCACUCCCUUCAGUGUGAAGUCUUAUGUCUCUGGCCUGCUAUUUUGAGCAUUCUUCCACCAUCUACCUCUGCCUGAUCCUGGACUCUCACCUGUCUCUGACCCACGGCUGCCAGCCGCCUGCCUCUCCAUGUGUUCAAAAAAACACUGCGCAUGAAUCCUCCUGACACCGGCUGGUACACUUGCUCCAAUAACAAGCUCUGCAUCAACGUGAACAAGGCCAAAUAGAUGAUUGUGGACUUCAGGAAGGACAGACGCCCCCCUCCUACCCUUCACAUCAGAGGGGCCGUGGUGGAAGUGGUUUUCAGCUUCAGGUACUUGGGCGUUCACAGCUCCAACGACGUUACCUGGAGCACCAACACUUCCUACCUAGUCAAGAAGGCACAUCAGCGCUGGGAUGGGGAUCGCAGUCCUUUACCUCCUUCAACAGGCAGGAGGCUGCGGGGCAUAAAGAGCAGGACCACCAGACUGAGGAACAGUUUCUUCCCUGAAGCAGUAAGGCUGCUGAACUCUGGAAGAUCAUUGUGACACCCCCGCCCUCUCACGGACAACUCAAAAAAGCAGUGCUACGUGAUGCACUCUCUUCUGUGCUAGAUUUCGGUGCAACAAUCACAGGACGGUGCAAUAAUCAUUGGAACUGUGCAAUACUGUGAUAUAUUCUCUUCAGUGCAAUACUCAGUAAGAAUCGUGAUAUAUCAUAUUGAUGUGUCUCUUACUUCCUGUCCUGAUCUUACUGUAAACGACUGGUCCUGGAACAGAGACACGAAUUUUGUUUUUUCUCCUGUGGUGAAAUGACAAGAAUCCUGAACGUGGUGGAGUCCAUGCCACGAAAAAAUGACGACCAAAUUGACAACUGAAGACACUAUGAACUUUUUUGGACGGAUUGACUUUAUUUGGUUGGAGCUGGUAGUAAAUCAUUUUCUUUGGGUGAUGUAAAACUCUGUCAGUCCAGUUCUCAUACAAUGGCCUCUAUUGUAAUAAGUUCAGAAAUAGGAAAAGAACAGGGAAACUAAAGUUAGUGAUUUUAUGGUUACAUGCAUAUCAGAUUUUUAUUUUGGUUUGACUUUAAUUACAUUCUGUCUAUUUCUGCUUUCAAACUGAUUUUUAAAAAGCUAUUUUUGUGAAAGGACUCUCUUAAACUCCGAAUGUCCUGAUUACACUCUGGCACAUACCUGUGUAUAUAUGCACAUGUACAUUUGCUUAUUUAGUUUCUCUUAACUUCAAUAUUUUUCUCACGUCUUUAUUGUGAAAAUGGAUUUUCUUGGGCGUCCCUAACACUGUUACUUAAUCCCUGUGUGCACAGAACCAACAUGUUCAGAUCAUGUAUGUCUUGUUUUUGCACAUAACUGAUAUGUUUGUUUUGUAUAUUUUAUAUGUUUUUCACUGAUAUGGCGAUGGCUUUUAAUCUCAUUGUACAUGCGGACAGUGACAAUAAAGGCACAUCUAUAACUA